rnacentral:tRNA from 1 species
GGUCGGUUAGCUCAGAUUGGUUAGAGCGCCUGCCCGACACGCAGGAGGUCGGAGGUUCGAAUCCUCCACCGACCA